rnacentral:rRNA from 1 species
UACGUAGGUGGCAAGCGUUAUCCGGAAUUAUUGGGCGUAAAGAGCGCGCAGGUGGUUAAUUAAGUCUGAUGUGAAAGCCCACGGCUUAACCGUGGAGGGUCAUUGGAAACCGGUUGACUUGAGUGCAGAAGAGGGAAGUGGAAUUCCAUGUGUAGCGGUGAAAUGCGUAGAGAUAUGGGGGAACACCAGUGGCGAAGGCGGCUUCCUGGUCUGCAACUGACACUGAGGCGCGAAAGCGUGGGGAGCAAACAGG